GAUGACGGGCUAGCGAGAUGAGUCUCACAUCGCCUGGUACUUGUGAGUCUGAGCCUCACGAGGACGUCAGGGCUUAAAGGAGGGGAGAUUGUGAGACCCCAGAUAGUCCUAUAUAUGAGAUAUAAUAGGGCUAAACUCUUAACCCGGCUUAAGUAUUUUAGGUGGUGGCGAGGCCCAAGAGGUUAAGAGAGUUAAGCGUGCUAGGACGGGAGUAGU
rnacentral:lncRNA from 1 species